AGCAAAUGUUAUCCGAACACGCUAGUUAGUUAUAGAGCAGAUAAGAGUAAGAGGAACGAGGUCAAAGUGUCAAGGCAGCUCUCCUUCUCUGUCUCUGCCAAAGUCAUCAAUGGGUUUUCCUGCUCUAUCGAGUUUCAGCACCAGUAGUAGCUGUUGCUCGAUCAGUUGGAGUUCUUCAAGUUUGUUUGAUAAACUAGGGUUUUCAUCUAAAAAUGGAACUCAACUUAGGGUUUGUACAGAAACCAAUUUCAGGAAAAACAUGCUGCCUAGGGCAUCUCUCUCUUCAUCCGAUCCACUAUUGGUUAAGGCUGCAAGAGGAGAACAAGUCAGUCGGCCUCCAGCAUGGAUGAUGCGUCAAGCGGGAAGGUAUAUGGCUGUUUACAGAAAGCUUGCGGAGAAACAUCCCUCCUUCAGAGAGAGGUCAGAGAAAACUGAUCUCAUUGUGGAAAUUUCUCUGCAGCCUUGGAAAGCUUUCCGUCCUGAUGGAGUUAUUAUUUUCUCUGAUAUACUCACUCCUCUGCCUGCUUUCGGUGUCCCAUUUGACAUAGAAGAAGUAAGAGGCCCUGUCAUUCAGUCUCCAAUUCGUUCUGAAGAGGGAUUGAAAACAUUGCAUCCAAUUGAUCUAGACAAACUUCAUUUUGUGGGAGAAUCUCUGAGAAUUUUACGUCAGGAGGUCGGCGAACAAGCAGCGGUCCUUGGUUUCGUUGGAGCGCCAUGGACAAUUGCCACGUAUAUAGUGGAGGGGGGGACAACCCGUACAUAUACCAACAUAAAAAGCAUGUGUCACACUGCACCACACGUGUUGAGAGCUCUUCUCUCCCAUCUAACACAGGCUAUAUCAGAUUAUGUGAUUUUCCAAAUAGAAUCUGGAGCUCAUUGUAUACAGAUCUUUGAUUCAUGGGGUGGACAGCUACCACCUGAUAUGUGGGAGAAGUGGUCAAAGCCAUACAUUAUGGAGAUUGUCGGAAAAGUGAGGGACAAGUGCCCCCAAACACCAUUAGUACUCUACAUCAAUGGCAACGGUGGCUUCCUCGAACGCAUUAAAGGAACGGGAGUUGAUGUCAUUGGGCUUGACUGGACUGUGGAUAUGGCAGAUGGCAGGUGCCGGCUGGGAAAUGAUAUCAGUAUCCAGGGAAACGUAGAUCCAGCUUAUCUAUUUUCUGCACUCCCUGCAUUGACAGAUGAAAUUCAAAGGGUCGUGAGAUGUGCAGGGCAGAGAGGACACAUUCUUAAUCUUGGCCAUGGCGUGCUUGUAGGAACCCCCGAAGAAGCUGUUGCACAUUUCUUUGAUGUAGCUAGGAGUUUGAAUUAUGACAACAAUCUCUCUGAAGAUCAUGUUAGGAACAAAACAGAAGUUGUUGUUUGAAGGCAGCGUGAUGCUAAAAAGUUCUGUCACUUUAAUGCCACCGGCCUUGUGCUCUUUGAAUUCCCUCAAGCAGUGAAUGGCAGAACUCUGCAUGGUUGUUCAAGGAAUUUUCCGACCCAAAGUUCUAUAGCAUGUACAUGAUAUAGUGAGGCUACCGGUUUUGUUCCAUAUUCCAUUGUAUCUCUCGUGCUACUGAUUUAAGUUCCUUGCAUCCCUGGAUCUAAACCGCAUGAACCUGUUUCAACCAUCGAACAAGGCGGAGACGUACUUAUGGCUACCAAAGCUGCGAUGGUGAACUAACACGAAACAGACCCUAUACC